rnacentral:rRNA from 1 species
UACGAGGGGGGCGAGCGUUGUUCGGAAUUAUUGGGCGUAAAGGGUGCGUAGGCGGUUCCGCAAGUCCUGUGUGAAAUCUUCGGGCUCAACUCGAAGUCUGCACGGGAAACUGCGGGGCUUGAGUGUGGGAGAGGUGAGUGGAACUGCGAGUGUAGAGGUGAAAUUCGUAGAUAUUCGCAAGAACACCAGUGGCGAAGGCGGCUCACUGGCCCGAUACUGACGCUGAGGUGCGAAAGCGUGGGGAGCAAACAGG